rnacentral:rRNA from 1 species
CAGCUCUCCGAGUGGUAGGGAUGAUUAUUGGGCUUAAAGCGUCCGUAGCCGGCUUAGCAAGUUUCCUGUUAAAUUCAGCGACCUAACCGUUGACCCGCGGGAAAUACUACUAGGCUAGGAGGCGGGAGAGGUCGACGGUACUUCUGGGGUAGGGGUGAAAUCCUAUAAUCCCGGGAGGACCACCAGUGGCGAAGGCUGUCGACUAGAACGCGCUCGACGGUGAGGGACGAAAGCUGGGGGAGCGAACCGGAUUAGAUACCCGAGUAGUCC